AUUUGAUUUGACUUACCAUACUUGUGACCUCCAGGAGUGUGACUGUGAGUAGAAAUACCUACAUGGAAAAGAUGGCCAGUGUGUCUAGGGAGGGGUGAGAUGUCCACAAUGAGCAGGCUGUGGCAGGAAAUGAAGUUGCAUAGGCAAGCCGUGGCCAGAUCCUACAGGGCCAUGAUGUGAAGCCAAGCUGGGGCUGUACAAGCCUGGAAAGGAGUGUAAGCAGAGGAAAGGCAUUCUCACAUCUAAGUAUGUGGACUCACUUUGUUUAUUCAAAAUGUGUUUAAAACCUAGAAAGAAUUCCCAAGUAAAGUGCAAGCCAGGCGCUUUCCCCUCCAGUUAUGUAGCAGGAAGGUGCUAUCCAAGGUACUGAGAUCCCCAGGGGCUCUUCCAAGAAAGGGAGCAGGCUGAGCCUUGUGGGAGGAGAUUGGCAUGCUGGCUCAUACAUUUGAAAUGCCACCUAGUUCCAUUCCCUUGUGUCUACACAAACAGAAUCAAUCCUAUGCUGACUCCUUCUCCCAUAGAAGGGGAAGAACAUCUAUUUGUAUACUGCUACCUCCUGAACCCAACCUUGGGACACACACAAACUUUUGUCCUUACCUCUGACUGGCCUGAUGGAACAAGGGACAGAUAAAGCUUAUGGAUGAGAGCCUCAAGUAAUGAAUCCAGUGGUACUAGAGGUGUUCACACAUCCAGAAGGAUUAAUACAUUUUUAAAGGGCUGGUGCCAAGAAUUGGCCCAAAUUUUUCACCUCUCCCUAUAUCCAAGUUCUUUGCCAUGUGAUUUUAGAGGUCUUCCCAUUUAAUGAAUAGAGUAUAUUUCCCCUUGCCUUGAUCUUAACCAUGGCCGUAUAACUUGCUUUAACCAACAGCGACUGGCUUAGACCUUAAAAGGUAUAAAUGUUUCCACUCAACUCCCUGUGCCUCCACCUCCAUGUGCCUGUGAGAUGGUGUUGGAAGGUCACUGUCCCUGUCUGUACUCAUCUUGGUGAGCAGAAGCCAAGAAUGGCUGCAUAACUUGAAGGUCCCACUGCAAAAUGAAAAUGCAGGGUCCCUUGUUCAAAAAAUAUUCAAAAUUUCAAGACAACCACAGCAGAUCAUUCAACCAAGUGGGAUCCCUUCUUUGUGCAGGACCCUGUGUGACUACAUGGGUCCUAUACCUAUGAAGCCAGCCCUUUAAGAGGUAGUAACAACUUUUGUUUUAGAUCAGCAGCACACUGUGGUCCUCAAGUCCUGCCUGUUUUGUAUGAUCCUAGAGCUAAGAAUUUUUUUUUCAUUUUCAAAUGAUUGGAAAAAAAUUUUUAAAGGCUAUUAUUUUAUGACACAUAAAAAUUAUAUGAAAUUUGAAUUUGUGUUCAAGAAUUAAGUUUUAUUGAAACCCAGCCAUGGUUAUUCGUUUACAUCUUAUCUGUGACUGCUUUUGCACUAUAACAGCUAAGUCCAGUCAUCACAGAGGGGACUGCAUGGUCCACAGUGUCUACAAAUUUACUUUCUGACCUUUUAUUGAAAAAGUUUCCUGAUUCUGUUUAUAUUAGCCAGAUUUUCAUCACUGUGAAAAACCUGGAAAAUUGACCUAAGGGAAGAGAGAUCUAUGCCAGCUCAUGGUUUCAGCUGCUCCAUUGCUUUCGGCUUGAGAUGAAGAAGAACAUCAUGAUGGAAGGGGACAGCAGAGGCAUAGUUCAUAACACCCAGGAAGCAGAGAAAGAGGGAAUGGGGCCAGGGACCAGAAAUAUCCUUCCAGGGGACAGAGUGAGCUAUUUCCUCCAACAGGAUCUCAUAUCCCACAGUCUCCACCAAUUGCCAUUAGUUCGUUCAGAUUACAAAUCCAUCAAUAGAUUGAUUCACAGAUAAGAUUAGCAUCCUCAUGAUCCAAUCACUUCCCAAAGCCCCAUUUCCAGAAUUGCUGCAUGGGGGCCCAAGCCUUUAAAACAUGAGUUUUGGGGGGACACUUUUAUCCAAACCAUAACACUGUUCUAGACUAGACAUAGAAUAACCAACCAAUUCCAGCGUAGAUCAGAAGGAUGACAGCUAAUCCACAGAUCUCUGAGCAUGAAUGCCUAUUGGUGUAUGCUCCUGAGACCAUGAGGUGGUGUGGAAUGUGCC
rnacentral:lncRNA from 1 species